rnacentral:lncRNA from 11 species
CUUAAUCCCUCCUUAUUAUCCAACAUAUUCGCUUAUCCAACAUUCUGCCGGCCCGUUUAUGUUGGAUAAGUGAGACUCUACUGUAGUUCAAUAUGCAGUAAUGCUAAGUAGUAAUUACUGUAUUUACGAAUUUAGCACCAAAAUAUCACGAUAUAUUGAAAACAUUGACUACAAAAAUGCGUUGGAUAAUCCAGAACAUUGGAUAAGCGAGUCUUGGAUAAGUGAGACUCUACUGUACUGUGCUACAUUCCUCCCUAGUGUCUAUUUUUAAUGCAUGCUAAAUAGUGUUUCUUCUAUCUUCCCAGCUUUUAUUGGAUUUUCUAUACUUCCACAACUGGCUGAAAAAAUUAAGAUAUUUUUUGCUUUGGGACCUGUUUAUACAUUCUAUUACUCAGUAAGCCCAAUUGUACAAAUUCUACUGUUGCCAGAGGCAACCUUUAAGGUUAUCUUUGGCACAAAAGAAUUAUGCCUUCUAGGACCACAGAUAAGAAAAUUUCUGGCUCGGGAGUGCAGCAGCCAAUUCGUAGAUGGAAUCUGCAAAAAAGCUCUUUCACUUGUCAGUGGCUUCAAUCUGAAAAAUCUAAAUGAGAGCCGAUCAGAUGUAUAUGUAUCCAUGUUCCCAGAUUACACCUCUGUAAAAACUGGAAUCCAUUGGAGCCAGUCAAGGAAAACAGGGGAAUUCAGAUAUUUUGACUAUGGCUCUAAGAACAAAGAAAUAUACAACCAGACUACUCCACCUUUUUACAGCAUAGAAGAAGUUGUUGUGCCAAUUGCUUUGUGGAGUGGAGGACAUGAUUGGAUUUGCCAACCAAAGGAAACUGCAGCACUACUGUCUCGCAUCACUAGUUUGAUUCAUUAUGAGGAGUUGCCUGACUGGACCCACUGGGAUUUCAUUUGGGGCAUUGAUGCUCAUCAGCGCAUGUAUAGGGAAAUGCUUGACCUUAUGGAAAAAUACCCAUGAAACUAAUCUGGGCUUAAAAGCUCUAUAGAUUGAGUAUACCUUAUAUGGAAUUCCAAAAUUGUUCUUGGAGGUGUCUGAAAUAGUGACACAUCUACUUUCUGAUGGUUCGAUGUACACAAACUUUGUUUCAUGCACAAAACUAUUACAAAUAUUCAUGCUAAGUGUAUAAGAUGUAUAUGAAACAAGUCAACAUCAUGUUUAGACAUGGAUUUCAUUUCCAAGAGAUCUCAUUAUGUAUAUAUGUGCAAAUGCAGGUAUUCCAAAAUCUGAAAUCUAAAAGAUUUCUGCUCCCUUAUUUUGGAUAAAAGAUAUUUAAUCUACAUUUUGUUCUCAUCACUUUUGUAAGAUUAAAAACUGUAGUCCUGUGAUUCUGUGUCCAUAUCUUUUAGAAAAUGUAUUUUAUUUUCAUUAUUUGUGGAAAUAUAGGCAUUAUGGAAUAAAUAUUAGGCUUCUCAAUAAAUUGUUCAAAAAGUUAGUUGUUUUGUGCUUUCAUGUACUCUUCAUUAUUCAUUAGCAUGAUUUCAACGUGUGUCCUCCAGAAUGCUGCAGGGCACCACCAUGAUUAUCUCUGAUGUUGAAAGGUUUGGUUUUCAGAGAUGAAGAGGUUUAGAAUGUUAGCGCAGGGAAAAGAUGCAAUGAUAGAAAAGAGCAACUCAGUAAUCAAAGAUCCAGUAUGGCAUAUGAGUGAGGGCCUUCUCGGUGGUGGCCCCCCCGACUCUGGAACUCUCUCCCCAGGGAGAUCAGAUUGGCCCCCACCCUGUCCACUUUCUGCAAGGACUUGAAGACAUGGAUGUCCAACACACUUUUGAAUAAUAGGUCAUUCGCAAUUUAUUACUGCCCAGUCUUAAUUGGUUAUUGCCUGAUCUCCAGCAGUUUAUUUCCACUCCUGAUUUUUGUUCUGAAUUUUGCACAUGCCUCCCUCUCCCUUGCUGGGCUGUGGCGCAGCUGGCUAGUAACCAGCUGCAAUAAAUCACUACUGACCGAGAGGUCAUGAGUUCAAAGGUCGGGUUAAGCUCCCGACCAUUAAAUAGCCCGGCUUGCUGUUGACUAAUGCAGCCCUGAAAGACAGUUGCAUCUGACAAGUAGGGAAAUUUAGGUACGCUUUAUGCGGGAGGCUAAUUUAACUAAUUUAUAACACCAUAAAACUGCCAGCAAAACACGAGGAAAGGAAUGAGGAAGUACAGCCACUAGUGGACAGUGAAGCAACAGCUCCCCCUGUGGCCGGAAUCAUGAAGCUGGAAAAAUGUUAAAAUGCCUCUGUGUCUGUCUAUACUGUAUGUUGUUUGUCUGUUGGCAUUGAAUGUUUGCCAUAUAUGUGUUCAUUGUAAUCCGCCCUGAGUCCCCUUCGGGGUGAGAAGGGCAGAAUAUAAAUACUGUAAAUAAAUAAAUAAAUAAAUAAAUAAAUAAAUUUUUAAUAGUUCCACCUUUCAGUUUCAAUAUCUGCUGAUGUACUUUAUGAUGUUUUAUUUUACUGCUUAACUGUUUUCAUUAUAUUGCUGUUGUGUUUUAACUUUUAUCUGUUUUGACCUCUGGGCUUGGUCCCCAUGUGAGCUGCUCCGAGAUGGAGAUGGGUUAUACAAAUAAAGUUGUUGUUGUUGUUGCUGUUAUUAUUAUAUGAGACUCCAUCCACACAUGCUGUAAAAUCCAGAAUAAUGUAUAUUACUGUGGGAUGGUGGUGGUGAUGGGGGGGGGGGGUACCUAGAAAACACAUGCCCCUAAUGUGCACUACAACAUGCAUCCACAUGUAAAAAAAACAUGUUAUUAAGUCAGGAGGAAGUCCAAAAGCAGAGAUAAAAUGUUCUGCAGCUGACCAGUGUAUGGAGGAACAGAUAAAGGAUCCAGAUAUGGUGCUCUCAGGAAAGUAAACAAAUCUUUCCCCACCUUCCCUGAUAAGAAAUCACUUUCCCUUUUUGUUUUUGAAUUGCAAUGCCAUGGGGAAAGUUUUUCCAAGAGAGAACUGUGUGUGGGAUGACAGAUUUGCCAUGCUGAUCCCUCUUUCCUCGUGGAAGCCCAGUGAAAAGGGACACUUUGUCAGGGAUUUCUGAUGAGAUUGCUAGAACUAAUAGUUGGAUUCAGGCAAUUUAAAGCUGGGUGGGACAUGAGUUGAAAAAAAAGACAUGGACAAUUUCAGAGGACAGAAGAUAUUGCAAAAUAAAUUAGGAAGGUGUAAUUUUUUUUAAAGCGAGUAUCUAUCUCUG